UUCCAUCUUAGAAAUAUCUCAAAAAUACGCCAUAUGCUGUCUGCAUCAGACGCAGAAAAGCUUAUCCAUGCUUUUAUGACCUCUAGAAUAGACUAUUGUAACUCGUUACUCGGGGGAUGCCAUGCAAAUCAGGUAAACAAGCUACAGCUGGUUCAAAACGCCGCCGCAAGAGUGCUUACUCGAUCUAAAAAGUGUGUCCAAUUCUGGCAUCUUUACACUGGCUACCAGUUAAAUAUCGCAUAGAAUUUAAAAUAUUACUAAUCACCUACAAAGCCUUAAAUGGCCUAGCGCCCUCGUAUAUUAAGGAACUACUAUCAGAAUACAAUCCAUCACGUAAACUGCGCUCACAAAAUUCUGGUCACUUAAUUAUCCCUAGAAUAUCAAAAGUGUCUAAAGGUGGUAGAUCCUUUUCCUACUUAGCCCCUAAGCUCUGGAAUGAUUUACCAAAUAAUCUUCGAGUAUCAGACACAGUCGAUCAAUUUAAAUCUAAACUUAAGACAUUCUUCUUUAACAAAGCAUACACAUAAAAUGUCCAGUAAAUGUACUUUUCCCGCAGUAGUUAGUUUGUCUAGAACAAAGCACUCACAUACCUCAUAUGGGUAAUAUACUAUUGCCGCAAUAGUUAGCCUGUCUGGAACCGAGCUGACUUGAACCACUAUAAUGUUUGACACUUGCAUUACUGUUUUUUUCUCCCUGUCUCGUCCUCGACCACGAGGACAAUGAGACAAACAGACCCAGUUCCUGUUGCUGUGAAGAUCAUCGCACCACUGAUCCACUGGCUGUCCUUCAACGUGAUGACCAGCCGAUGCCCGACCAACGACCACCGGCUAAACCAGUUUAAUUCGCUUCCCCCCCUUCUAUCCCUACAGUAUCUAUAUAUAUAUAUAUAUAAAUAUAUAUUAAUUCCUCCCAAGGGUUUUUGUCCUUCUAGGAGUUUUUCCCAUUGGGUUUUUUCCUAGGGGUUUUUUUUCGUCCCAGGGAGAGUCAGCCAACUUUGGCUUAACUUAGCACUUUACUGUAUACGUUACAUUAUUAAUAUGCUCGCUUGUACGGUUUAACCGCUAUCUCUUCUUCUCAUAUUAUCUAUUGAUUUUCUGUGUUCUCCUCUACAUCUUCUCAUGUAAAGCUGCUUUGCAACAAUUAACACUUGUGAAAAGCGCUAUAUACAUAAAAUUGAAUUGAAUUGAAUUGAACAGAUGCGGAGACAUCAGUCAAUGUCCCGCCCCCAAAGUCGCAAAAGUAAUCUUUAGCGAGCGACGCGUGUGGUGCAGCUGUGAGAGCAUAGGGAGAGUCGAGUGCCAAUUGGGCAUCAUUUAAAUGCCAUGGCCUACCUGAGCAUCGUUUCUGACCAUGUCCAUCCCUUUAUGACCACCAUGCACUCAUCCUCUGAUGGCUACUUCCAGCAGAAUAAUGCACAAUGUCACAAAGCUCGAAUAAUUUCAGAUUGGUUUCUUGAACAUGACAAUGAGUUCACUGUACUAAAAUGGCCCCCACACUCACCAGAUCUCAACACAGUAGAGCAUCUUUGGGAUGUGGUGGAACGGGACCUUCAUGUCCUGGAUGUGAAUCCCACAAAUCUCCAUCAACUGCAAGAUGGUAUCCUAUCAAUAUGGGCCAACAUUUCUAAAGAAUGCUUUCAGCACCUUGUUCAAUCAAUGCCACGUAGUAUUAAGGCAGUUCUGAAGGCAAAAGAAGGUCAAACACAGUAUUAGUAUGGUGUUCCUAAUCCUUAAGGUGGGUGUAUUUACUGCGAUGUUUGAAGUUAAAGCCCGAUAAGCAUUGAAUUUACCAUGCGUUUACCACAGUAACUGUAGAUUUAGUGUGUUAUUUGUAGUUAAAGCCUAGUAAACACAACCUGUAUCGUCCUGCUACUAUAGUAAAGUUAUUUCUGUUGUGGUACAUGUGCUUAAUGCAUAGUACCAAACCCUUUUUUUAGUAAACACAACCCUUCCAAUGCCUUACAAUGGUAAGUCUACUGUGGUAUAUGGUACAGUAAGCAUUGCAUAUAUGCAUUUAGCACAGUAACUGUACUAAUUUGCUGUAUUCAGUUAAAGCACAGUAACACAAACCCUUGCCUUGGUUUAAACCAACACAGUCUCAUGGGAAGUCGUGUUAUAGUAACGAAAAAUUUUGAUUAAUUUAUUCGUGUUUGAUGACACGAAUUUCCGCUGUUUUUCGUGUCUCUGGAGACUAAUGUCUUUUUCGUCCUUCCCAGCACGAAUUUCUAUCAAUGGCUGUUCGUGUCUGUGGCACGACUUUCUUUAUCGUGUCAUUUUAUAUUUUGUUUUCUCAUCGUUGUUUUCUAUUUUUUGACCAUUGUCGCUUGGGGUUUGGGUUAGAAUCACUUUCUGCGACUUCCUAACCCAAACCCCAGCUCUAAUCCCAACUCCAGGCGAGAAUAGUUUUAAAAGUGGACGAAAAACAUGUAGAAACCAAUGCAAAAAAUAACAUCCUAACGCAAACCCCGGAUCUAACCCUAACCCCAAGCGACAAUGAUUUAAAAAUAGGAAACAACGAUGAGAAAACAAAAUAUAAAAUGACACGAUAAAGAAAGUCGUGCCACAGACACGAACAGCCAUUGAUAGAAAUUCGUGCUGGGAAGGACGAAAAAGACAUUUGUGUCUGUGACACGAAAAACAGCGGAAAUUUGUGUCAUCAAACACGAAUAAAUUAAUCAAAAUUUUCGUUACUAUAACACGACUUGCCGUGAGACUGGGUUGUUUAAACACAGUCACUGUAGUUUAGCCUUUUAAUUUGUAAUAAAAGCAGGGCUAAAACAACACUUACCUAUCUUUUAAUACCUUUCAUGUCCAAUCAUUGUUUUUGUCUUGCAGUUACUCCAUAUCAGUCAUUUGAUGGACAGUGGGCAACCAAAUAAAAAUGAUGGCAAUUUCUGCAAAAUUAUUAAUUCUGUAGACUUGCUUCUCCACAAGUUGAAAAUACUUGGUGUCUUACCAAUGCUAUUUAGAAUGUUGCAGAGAGGCCUGCACCACUCUACCAAAAUUUAAGAGGUCCCACCACUACAAUCAGCCACCCUGUCACUACAGUCAGCGUUCCCGCCACUGUGACCAGAGACUCCACCACUACCAUCAGAGGCUCUGCGACUACUGUCAGCAACCCCGCGCCACUGCGGCCAGAGACCGUGGCUGUGUGGCAAGAAGUUCCUGGGUGUCUGAGGAUGCUGUGCAGUAGUAUGUGUCUGUUUAAAUACAUGCCAUUAUACAUGUCAAUACAGUAUUUGUCAUCAUAGAAAGUUAUUCUAUAAAUUUUGUUUAACACUUUAGUUUGUCUUAUUCUUGAAGGUCUGUUGUUGUCAAAAUGUAUUGAUAUUUAGAUAUAAAAAUCAGGAAACACAUCUACACAUGUUGUUGUUACACUAAUGUGUGGUGAAUACUAUGUAUAUACAAAAUUUUAUAAAUAAGUUCUUUUGAUUUUUUUUCUUCAUAAUUGUAUUGGAUAAAAAGGAAAUACAAAUUUUCUUCUCAUAGAAAUGAAUAUUUAUACUAUAUACUACCUACAUGAACUCUGAACCUUGUUGUUAUAUUGAGUGGCCUGGUGAACAAUUAAGUUUUACAUGUCUACUGAAUGUUUACAUGGUUGUCUUUAUUUACCGUCAUCCCUGUACUCUUGAUUUUGUUCCACAGAUCAUGCUAAUAAAAUAAAUGAUGAAACCUAUUUUAAAUGGGCAUUGCUGUUGUUGUUUUUAUGGGGGGUGGGGUUUGUCUUCUUAAGACACUUGGUAUUAAGUUAUUUGCUGGUUUGACAGCACAGACACUGUCAUGUAAUAGUAAAGCUGGAACUGAGGUGAUAAU